AUUCUAACAGGAUAACAACACAGGCUGAACGCGAGAAGAAGGACAACGGGGGAACCGAGCGACUGCAGUUGGAAAUGGCGAGAAGACUGUGUUGUUUCGAUAUGUCCGUGAUAAAAUGCCACAAAUUUUGCGAAAAAAUAUGUUAUCUUUUUGUUCAGACGACAAAGCUGGGCAUCGCACUUGGAUCUUGGAAUACAUCAUUGGUCAAAAGAUGAUGGAAGAAUUCUUAGUUCCAUACUAUAAUUAUGAAUCUGUUCCACAUUCAUGCAAAGAUGGAGGAAGAGAACAGAAUCGCAGAAUAUGGUCAUUUGCAGGAUUGUGGACAUUUGUCAUUACUGUGAUGGGGAAAAGAAUACAGAUUGGCCUUCCUAGAGCAAAGCACACCAAAAUGAUGCUGUCACCCAUUGCUUCAAAGUUGAGUGUUCUUCAGCUUGCAAGCCUCUCUCUUUUUUUUUUUUUUUUUUUUCCUCUUGAUAACAUCGGCCAUUAUGACCACAAUGGAUGUUUUAUCAAAUAAGAGGACAUUUCUCUAAAAAUGAAAGCUCUUUGUCCCGAUGUACAGUUUCAUGCUGUAGUCUGGCAUCUUUUUGGGGUGGUUUUCUAGCAGUAGUUUCUUUCUCACCAAGCUGCCUUUCAGGUUAUGUUUAUAUCAGUCUUGUUUUACUGAGGAUAUAAAUACUUUUGUCCCUGUUGCAUCCAGUGUCUUUACGAGCUUAUUUGCCUUUGUUCUAAGAUUUAUUUAACCUUUUUGUAGCAAGGUAUGCAUGUCCUUCCUUAACAAUAUGAUGGCUAUGUGGUGGUAUAUAAUGGUGUAGUAUUUGCUAUAGAUAAACUUGGUAACUUUUCGGAAAUUUGGAAAUUGUUGCCAAAAAUGAUUACCCACACUUGUGGAAGUCCACAAUUUGUUUUCCGGAGAUAUUGGGUGAUUUCUUUUCAUUUUCCCAUGUCCCGUGUCAACAGAAUUACUUCUCAGAGUUCUGAGGCAUCCCUUAAAAUGCAUCCACCGGUAUAUCCCCAGUUUAUUGAAAUUCUGUUGGUUAGCCUUUCAGAGACUUUUAAAUUUAUGGAAGUAUUUUCUAGAAUUUUUCAAGUUAUUAAAAUGCCUAGUCAUCUGAGUGCAUAUGCAUUUUUGGCCCACUGUAGUUGGGAUAUAGUGAAUUUUCCAUGAUCCAUCGAUAAACAGUUGUGAGGAAAAAUUUUGCCAUGCAUAAAGUAGAUGUCCUGGCGCAUUUUCCAAACACAUAGUUUAACAUGAAAUCUUUGGAGUGGUUACCUUUUUUUUUUUUUUUUUUUAUGACUUCAAACAGUGGGAAAUUUACUUCAACUGUGCAUGUACUCUCUUAUUCACACAGUGCAUUUUAAUGUAGUAAUAGUUAUUCUUUCACCAUUUCAUUUAAAAUGUGAAACCCAUAUAUUCUAGAUUCAUUAAACACAAAGUGAAAUUUGUUUUUAAUUUUGAUAAUUGCGACUGACAGCAUCUCAAAAUAUUAGUCUUUCAUUUUAAGUGAGUAAUAUUCAUAUAGUAUAAAUAUUGGUCUACUUCAUUACAUUUAUAUGGAAAACUGCUGUCUUGACAGUUGUUCUGAAGAUGAUCAUUGAUGCUCUCCACAGGGAGGGAAAGCCAUAGUGCUUUAUUGAAGCAUAGUUAUGAACAGGUGAUUGAAAGAGAACAGUGUGGUGGAAAAACGUGCAGAAGCAACAGGUGGCCUUAAAAUUGUCGAGCAAAGUUGAUUGUGAAGCUCUCCAAGUUCUUUAAAGAGUGGAUUGAGGCUGGAGUCAGUGCAUUAAGAGACAUCAUGCAUAGACAUCUUUAGGGAAUGUACUAAAAGUGUUGCAUUCCUAGUAGCAAGCCACUCCUGAACCAGAGGAAUCUUGCCUAGGCUAAGGAGAAAAGAAGUGGAGCAUUGCUUAGUGGUCCGAAGCCAUCUUUUCUGAUAAUUGUAAUAUUUAGAGCACUUCAUGCUUCUGUUCGCUGAUUAAUUUUAUGGAGAUAAGUUUCUUUUCCAUUUCUUUAGCACCUGCCCACACUAGCAAAACUACCACUAACUGGUUUGCUGACCAUGAUCAUAUUGUGCUCACUUGACAUGAACCGGAACAGGUGUUGAGAAACACUUGACUCAACAAUAUACAUAACUCUUAUAUCAAAGCAACCUGGUCUCCAUGCCAUGUUGCAUUAAUGCUGUAAUUCAUGCCAAAAGAUCCCCAACAGAGUAUUAAGGGCAUAAAUGGACAUAAUUUACAGAUGUUUUUUUAAAGGAGUUUUGGAUUUUCAUGAGCUGUAAGCUCAUCGAAAUUGUUUUAAAUGCUUGAAAUGUUUCCCUUUACAUGUAAUAAAUCCACAAUAUGACUUACUUUUUUUAAAAUUCAUUAUGAAAGAAUAUAUUUAGUGAUGAUAAACUAGAUGCAUUGUAUAUAUGUAUAGCUUUAUGUGGAUAGAUACAUUUUGGUUUUUACAUGUUUUCCCUUCUCCUUUUUGAUUUCAUUAAGACCCCCUACUGGACAAACAAGUGAAGACUCCAGCUUUAUCAGGAAGAUGACGGCUAUUUUUUUUUUUCUUUUUUGACUUUAUGUAACUUUGGAUUGCAGUUGUAUUCUGCUGAAAAAUGUGUCUAAAUACAACACAACCCCAUGUUUGAUGUUUUUAUUUGAGCUGAUGUUUGUUUGUAUAAAUAUUCUAAGUUGAAUAUAUAUUUAUAUACACGUGUGUGUUUUUUACUUAAAUAAAAAAUAUUGAUUUUUGAAAGA